rnacentral:tRNA from 1 species
GGGCCGGUAGUCCAGCCUGGUAGGCAUACGGUUGCACAGAACGGACGUCGCCCUCACACGGCGAAGGUCGUGGGUUCAAAUCCCUCCCGGCCCA